rnacentral:lncRNA from 13 species
CCUUCUCUCCGGGUGGAUGUGCAGGUGCUGUCGAGCACCACGUUGCUAUGGCUACUCCUGGAGUGCUACCUGAGCCCACUGUGUGCCAAAAUCAGCCCAGGAGGAGUGUGUGAGAACUGCAGUUAGCACAAUUAAUGCAAGGCAGAGCCACUCUGAGCCACCGUCCACAGCAGACACACUUUGGGCAGGCGAAGAUUUGGGAUUUGCAGUCCUAGGAGCACCUCUCGGGAGGAAAAAAAAAAAAAAAAAAAAAAAAGCUGCAAGAUUUGAUUCACUUUUAUUCCAGUUCAGUUUCAGGCAGUUACAAAGAGCCAGCCCCAGGAUGAAUGCAGCAUGCCAGGCUGGAGAAGACAACAAUCAUUGGCCAGGAGGAUCAUUAACAACACUGCUCAGCAUGGAUCCCAGAUGGUUGAACAGCCAGAAUCCUGCUUUGGUGGAUGGUCACAACCAAAACCACACAAGAAGACCCAAUUUCUUGUGUGCUGGAAGAGGUGGUUGUUGGUGCUCUCCAGAAACCAGUACAGGAACUGGUCCUCAGUAGAGCAUCUGUAGAGAGAAAAUAAGUUAAAAAUGGAGAAAGAUGGGGAAGUAACCAAAACAGUGACCUUUAUGUAAUGCACCCAAAGGACACCAUGACAAGAUCCACGGAUGAGCAAUCUGCGACCCCUGUGGCUCCAAUCCAGGCUGAAGCCUCACUGAUCACACAUAAAGCUGGGAGAAACAAACACAGAACUCGCUUCCAAACGAAAACAAAAUAAAAGUAAAUAGCAGCCAUCAUUCCUAUUUCUGAAUGCCUGCCUUGUAUUCAUUUCUCCCCAGUGAAGAUGGUUGAUCAGCACAGUGCUUUCUCUGCUUUUCUAGAGCUUUAAGUUCUGUAUAAUACCACUAACUUAAGAAGAGACUGUGCUUUGAUGCUCUCUCUGUUAAUUAUUUC